rnacentral:rRNA from 1 species
GAUGAACGCUGGCGGCGUGCUUAACACAUGCAAGUCGAACGGAAAGGCCCAAGCUUGCUUGGGUGCUCGAGUGGCGAACGGGUGAGUAACACGUGGGUGAUCUGCCCUGCACUUUGGGAUAAGCCUGGGAAACUGGGUCUAAUACCGGAUAGGACCAUCGUUUAGUGUCGGUGGUGGAAAGUUUUUCGGUGUGGGAUGAGCUCGCGGCCUAUCAGCUUGUUGGUGGGGUAAUGGCCUACCAAGGCGUCGACGGGUAGCCGGCCUGAGAGGGUGUACGGCCACAUUGGGACUGAGAGACGGCCCAGACUCCUACGGGAGGCAGCAGUGGGGAAGAUUGCACAAUGGGCGCAAGCCUGAUGCAGCGACGCCGCGUGGGGGAUGACGGCCUUCGGGUUGUAAAAGCCUUUCGACAAGGACGAAGCGUUUUGUGACGGUACUUGGAGAAGAAGCACCGGCUAACUACGUG